GCAAUGUCUAGUGAUGCGUCGUCGUCUGGAGUGGCUCUCGAAGGUCUCGACCAUGUAGAGGACUACAUUUGGGCAAAUGAAGGUGCAGGAUCAUUAUCUUGGGAUCGGUUUAGUCAUGUUUUUGAUCUGGUGCAAAAUGGAAACCAGGCAUUCCGAGAGAAUCAUUUUGAGGAGGCUAUCAAUUAUUAUUCAAGAGCCAAC
rnacentral:misc_RNA from 1 species